GCCGGCGUAGCUCAGUGGCAGAGCAGCUGAUUCGUAAUCAGCAGGUCGCGGGUUCAAAUCCCAUCGCCGGCUCCA
rnacentral:tRNA from 1 species